rnacentral:lncRNA from 1 species
UUCCGAAUCUUACCACUCCCUACACAUCACAUAACCCUACCAUCAAAUGCUCACUCACAAGCAAACUCGUCACUCUUGGAUAAUCGGAACGCAUAUGCAAUUUUGUUGAGGAUGACGAUGCUUUGAAACUGAAGUAGUGUUGAUGCUUAGAUACACAUUUAGACGUCUUAGGUCAAAUACGUUGUAUAAAUUUCAUACUUGUUGUUGUAUUGUUUUCUUGUAUUUAACAUGUGGUAUUUC